rnacentral:rRNA from 1 species
AUUGAACGCUGGCGGCGUGCCUAAUACAUGCAAGUCGAACGUGAAAGUUCUUUCGGGAAUGAGUAAAGUGGCGCACGGGUGAGUAACACGUGGGUAAUCUACCUCAAAAUUUGGAAUAACCUGCUGACAGGCGGGCUAAUACCGGAUAAGCCAAAUAGAUCGUAAAGAUCUGAUUGGAAAGGGAGCUCGCAAGAGCCCUCGUUUUGGGAUGAGCUCGCGUCUCAGUAGCUAGUUGGUAGGGUAACGGCCUACCAAGGCUUUGAUGAGUAGCUGGGCUAAGAGGACGACCAGCCACACUGGAACUGACACACGGUCCAGCCUCCUACGGGAGGCAGCAGUAGGGGAUAUUGCGCAAGGGGCGAAAGCCUGACGCCGCAACGCCGCGUGAGUGAAGAAGGCCUUCGGGUUGUAAAGCUCUGUCAAGCGGGAAGAAAAAUCCCAUUACUAAUACUAAUGGGACUUGACGGUACCGCUGGAGGAAGCACCGGCUAACUCCGUGCCAGCCGCCGCGGUAACAC